GACGAACGCUGGCGGCGUGCUUAACACAUGCAAGUCGAACGGAAAGGCCCUGCUUUUGUGGUGUGCUCGAGUGGCGAACGGGUGAGUAACACGUGAGUAACCUGCCCUUGACUUUCGGAUAACUUCAGGAAACUGGGGCUAAUACCGUAUAGGAGCUCCUGCUGCAUGGUGGGGGUUGGAAAGUUUCGGCGGUUGGGGAUGGACUCGCGGCUUAAGAGCUUGUUGGUGGGGUAGUGGCUUACCAAGGCUGUGACGGGUACCCGGCAUGAGAGGGUGACCGGCGACAAUGGGACUGAGAUACGGCGCAGACUCGUACGGGAGGCAGCAGGGGGAAAUAUUGCACAAUGAGCGGAAGCCUGAUGCAGCAACGCCGCGUGCGAGAUGACGGCCUUCGGGUUGUAAACCGCAGUCGCCUGUGACGAAGCGUGAGUGACGGUAAUGGGUAAAGAAGCACCGGCUAACUACGUG
rnacentral:rRNA from 1 species